rnacentral:lncRNA from 1 species
CCCCUUAUUUUGGGCCAGUGGCUGUCAUUACAUAUGAGAUGAGUCUCUUGAAGACUACAGAUGAGAGCAGUCAUGAUGGCCUGCACUCCACACAAUGCAACAGAGUGAAGGAGCAGGUUCUGGUUCUUUGGUGUAGUCCUGAAGCUUCCUAAGAAAGUUCACAUCAGGUGAUGGAUAGGAGCAACCCUGUAAAACCAGCCUUAGACUAUUUUUCAAACAGGCUGGUGAAUUACCAGAUCUCCGUCAAGUGCAGUAACCAGUUCAAGUUGGAAGUGUGUCUUUUGAAUGCAGAAAACAAAGUCGUGGACAACCAGGCUGGGACCCAGGGCCAGCUGAAGGUGCUGGGUGCCAACCUCUGGUGGCCGUACCUGAUGCACGAACACCCCGCCUACCUGUACUCGUGGGAGGAUGGUGAUUGCUCACACCAAAGCCUUGGACCCCUCCCAGCCUGUGACCUUUGUGACCAACUCCACCUACGCAGCAGACAAGGGGGCUCUGUAUGUGGAUGUGAUCCGUGUGAACAGCUACUACUCUUGGUAUCGCAACUACGGGCACCUGGAGUUGAUUCAGCUGCAGCUGCCCGCCCAGUUUGAGAAUUGGUGUAAGACAUCACAAUCCCAUUAUUCAGAGCGCGUAUGGAGUGGAAACGCUUAUAGGGUUUCACCAGG